GACGAACCGUGCGAACGUUGUUCGGAAUCACUGGGCUUAAAGGGUGCGUAGGUGGUGAGGUAAGUCGGAUGUGAAAUCUCCGAGCUCAACUCGGAAAUGGCAUUGGAAACUACCUUGCUAGAGGAUCGGAGGGGGGACUGGAAUACUUGGUGUAGCAGUGAAAUGCGUAGAUAUCAAGUGGAACACCAGUGGCGAAGGCGAGUCCCUGGACGAUACCUGACACUGAGGCACGAAAGCUAGGGGAGCAAACAGG
rnacentral:rRNA from 1 species